UGAGGAAUAUUGGUCAAUGGCCGGAAGGCUGAACCAGCCAAGUCGCGUGAGGGAAUAAGGCCCUACGGGUCGUAAACCUCUUUUGCCAGGGAGCAAUGCCGUCCACGUGUGGACGGAAGGAGAGUACCUGGAGAAAAAGCAUCGGCUAACUCCGUGCCAGCAGCCGCGGUAAUACGGAGGAUGCGAGCGUUAUCCGGAUUUAUUGGGUUUAAAGGGUGCGUAGGCGGCCUGCCAAGUCAGCGGUAAAAUUGCGGGGCUCAACCCCGUACAGCCGUUGAAACUGCCGGGCUCGAGUGGGCGAGAAGUAUGCGGAAUGCGUGGUGUAGCGGUGAAAUGCAUAGAUAUCACGCAGAACCCCGAUUGCGAAGGCAGCAUACCGGCGCCCUACUGACGCUGAGGC
rnacentral:rRNA from 1 species